GCGGGUGUCGUAUAGUGGUAGUACGACGGUCUCCAAAACCGUUGGCGGGAGUUCGAUUCUCUCCACCCGUGCCA
rnacentral:tRNA from 1 species